rnacentral:rRNA from 1 species
CCUACGGGAGGCAGCAGUGAGGAAUAUUGGUCAAUGGGCGAGAGCCUGAACCAGCCAAGUCGCGUGAGGGAAGACGGUCCUAUGGAUUGUAAACCUCUUUUGCCGGGGAGCAAAAAGCGGUACGCGUACCGCAUCGAGAGUACCCGGUGAACAAGCAUCGGCUAACUCCGUGCCAGCAGCCGCGGUAAUACGGAGGAUGCGAGCGUUAUCCGGAUUUAUUGGGUUUAAAGGGUGCGCAGGCGGCAAUUUAAGUCAGCGGUAAAAUUUCGGGGCUCAACCCCGAAAUGCCGUUGAAACUGGCUGGCUAGAGUGGGCGUGAAGUAGGCGGAAUGCGUGGUGUAGCGGUGAAAUGCAUAGAUAUCACGCAGAACUCCGAUUGCGAAGGCAGCAUACCGGCGCCCAACUGACGCUCAGGCACGAAAGCGUGGGUAUCGAACAGGAUUAGAUACCCUUGUAGUC